UGCACAUAUAGUAAUCACAUGCCACAUGCUGACAUACCAGCUACACAUUGUUUUAUCAAAUGCUGUUGACAUUAAUGGUUAUGAAGUUGGUUCAAAAAAGUCAGUGUAUGGAACACAUUUUUAAAAAGUGAUUUAUUGUUUAAGAAUAUGCUCCUAAUUAAGCCAAGUGACUUGGUUGAUUAACCCUUGUCUGGCUCAAAUCAUAAGUACUUGAACAAAUAAUGCAUUCUUGGGGUACUUUUAAUUAAAAGUAUUGAGUUAAUACCUUAAAAUUAUAAGCAUCUUUAAGGCAUUGAUUUGAGUUCUGUUUAGAACAGUCCUGUUCAAUAGAAAUAUAAUGCUAUCCACAUUUGUAAUAGUAAACCGUGUUGCAGAAUGGUAUAACUGCAAAAAAAAAAAAGCCCAUAACAAUAGUAUCUUCUUAAAACCAUUUCAUUUUUUUUACUGUCUUGCUUCAAUCUCUGUUUCUCAGUUUAAAUACCAAUUCCAGGAGAACAAGGAUUUUGUUGAGCUCUUUCAUUGCUGCAUCUCCACAUUUUGAAAACGGUGCCCAGUACGAGAAGACUCUAUAAACAGUAGUUGGAGGGGACUUCCCGGUGCUUCACAUGGAAGAAAGCUUUUGAAAACCGGCCCUUAGUUAUAACAGAUUUGUAUUUCAUGGAAUCUCAUUCAGUGGGUACUGACUGAUGAAGCAAGCAAGGCCUCAUAUUCUUUAGCAAACUUGAAAACACAGCUGUUAAGAUUUU